GACGAACGCUGGCGGCGUGCUUAACACAUGCAAGUCGAACGCUGAAGCUCAGCUUGCUGGGUGGAUGAGUGGCGAACGGGUGAGUAACACGUGAGUAACCUGCCCUCUUCUUUGGGAUAACGCCCGGAAACGGGUGCUAAUACUGGAUAUUCACUGAUUCUCGCAUGGGGGUUGGUGGAAAGGUUUUUUCUGGUGGGGGAUGGGCUCGCGGCCUAUCAGCUUGUUGGUGGGGUGAUGGCCUACCAAGGCUUUGACGGGUAGCCGGCCUGAGAGGGUGACCGGUCACAUUGGGACUGGGACACGGCCCAGACUGCUACGGGAGGCAGCAGUGGGGAAUAUUGCACAAUGGGCGAAAGGCUGAUGCAGCGACGCCGCGUGAGGGAUGGAGGCCUGUGGGUUGUAAACCUCUGUCGCUCAUAGUCAAGCCGCAGCUUUGGGUUGUGGUGAGGGUAGUGGGUAAAGAAGCGCCGGCUAACUACGU
rnacentral:rRNA from 1 species